CUACGAAAGGUGCAAGCGUUGUUCGGAUUUACUGGGCGUAAAGAGAUCGUAGGUGGUUUAUUAAGUCGGAUGUGAAAUCCCGGGGCUCAACCCCGGAACUGCAUUCGAUACUGGUAGACUAGAGUUUGGGAGGGGUAAGCGGAAUUCCGUGUGUAGCAGUGAAAUGCGUAGAUAUACGGAGGAACACCUGAGGCGAAGGCGGCUUACUGGACCAAUACUGACACUGAGGAUCGAAAGCGUGGGUAGCAAACAGGAUUAGAAACCCUAGUAGUCC
rnacentral:rRNA from 1 species